CGGUAAUUCCCAGCUCCAAUAGCGUAUACUAAAGUUGUUGCAGUUAAAAAGCUCGUAGUUGGAUUUCUGCGGGGACGGAGCGGCCGGACGCAACUUGCGUCUCGAGCUAGCGCUUUCCCCGCAUCCUGCCGCGAACCGUGCUACCAUUAGUUUGGUGGCGCUGGGGAUCGGCUCGAUUACUUUGAGAAAAAUAGAGUGUUCAAAGCAGGCCACACGCCUUGAAUAAGUUAGCAUGGAAUAAUGACUAAGGACUUCGGUUCUAUUUUGUUGGUGUUCGGGACUGAAGUAAUGAUUGAUAGGGACAGUUGGGGCGGUCUGUAUUCCAAAGCGAGAGGUGAAAUUCUUAGACCUUCGGAAGACAAACAGCUGCGAAAGCGUUCCGCAAGGAUGUUCCCUUUGAUCAAGAACGAAAGUUGGGGGAUCGAAGACGAUCAGAUACCGUCGUAGUCUCAACUAUAAACUAUACCGGCUAGGGAUCGGUCAACGUUUAAUUAUUCGACUUGAUCGGCACCUUAUGAGAAAUCAAAGCAUCUGGGUUCCGGGGGGAGUAUGGUCGCAAGGCUGAAACUUAAAGGAAUUGACGGAAGGGCACCACCAGCCGUGGAGCCUGUGGCUUAAUUUGACUCAACACGGGAAAACUUACCAGGUCCAGACAUAGUAAGGAUUGACAGAUUGAUAGCUCUUUCUUGAUUCUGUGGGUGGUGGUGCAUGGCCGUUCUUAGUUGGUGGAGUGAUUUGUCUGGUUAAUUCCGUUAACGAACGAGACCCCAGCCUGCUAAAUAGCGCGGCUGAGCUUUGCUCGGUGCGAGCUUCUUAGAGGGACUAUGAUGCGCGAUAGCACAUGGAAGUUUGGGGCAAUAACAGGUCUGUGAUGCCCUUAGAUGUUCUGGGCCGCACACGGGCUACACUGGCGCCUGCAACGAGCAUAUCAGCUGGCCCGAGAGGGUCUUGGCUAAUCUUUUGAACCGGCGCCGUGCUUGGGAUUGACCUUUGCAAUUGUUGGUCAUGCAACGAGGAAUGCCUUGUAAACGCGAGUCAUCAGCUCGCAUUGAAUACGUCCCUGCCCUUUGUACACACCGCCCGUCGCUCCUACCGAUGAAUGUUCCGAUGAAAUUUUCGGAGAGCGCCAGAGAACGGGGCUCUGCCUUGCAGAUCUGGAGGCUCAAAGUCACUUAAAUCUGAACAUUUCGAGGAAGGAGAAGUCGUAACAAGGUAGCCG
rnacentral:rRNA from 1 species